AGCAGCCGCGGUAAUUCCAGCUCCAAUAGCGUAUAUUAAAGUUGUUGCAGUUAAAAAGCUCGUAGUUGAAUUUCGGGGUUAGUAGGUUGGUCGUGCCAAUGGUAUGCACUGGCCUCACUGAUUCCUCCUUCUUGAUGAACCUUAAUGCCAUUAAUUUGGUGUUUUGGGGAAUCUGGACUGUUACUUUGAAAAAAUUAGAGUGUUUAAAGCAAGCUAACGCUUGAAUACAUUAGCAUGGAAUAAUGAAAUAGGACGUUCGGUCUUAUUUUGUUGGUUUCUAAGAUUGACGUAAUGAUUAAUAGGGAUAGUUGGGGGCAUUAGUAUUCAAUUGUCAGAGGUGAAAUUCUUGGAUUUAUUGAAGACUAGCUACUGCGAAAGCAUUUGCCAAGGAUGUUUUCAUUAAUCAAGAACGAAAGUUAGGGGAUCGAAGACGAUCAGAUACCGUCGUAGUCUUAACCAUAAACUAUGCCGACUAGGGAUCGGAUGAUGUUAAUUUUUUAAUGACUCA
rnacentral:rRNA from 1 species